GCACACAAAGCAGCCCACGACUUCUUCUUUCUUCUCUUCUUUCUUCUUUUCCUUCUAUUCUUCCUUCUUCUCUGUUCUACCCGAACACACUGAGAGAGACCGAGUAAGAGGGAGAUCAGAGAGGGGGGUUGAGAGCAGAGAGUGAGAUCGAGAGAAAGAGAGACUGAGAGAUCGAGAGAGAGCUAGACUCGGAGAGGGAAAGAACCGGCGGGCCCGUGAACCAGGGUAGGCCGAUCCUCCAUGGGUCGUCGUCGACGAAGCCAAAGCCAAGGAUUUCCGGUGACCCGAGCAACCACAAACCCGAGAGAGAAGACCCGUAACCCAUGCGACCCGUGACCCAGAUUGAACAAAGGGAGACCCGAUCGUGGAGGACCCGACCAGUGGGUCGACGGCGGCGGUUCCAGUGGAUUUCCGGCGAAGACCCGUUGACCCACGAAGGCCCGUAGCCCAGAAUCCCUCAGACCCGCGACCCAUGACCCGUUGAACCCGUGAGGAAGACCCGGUCCUCCAGGAGCGAUUUUCCGGCGACUGCCAGUGGCGUUCUCCGGCGGAUUUGUUGAGGAAAAUCCCCAAGGAUCAUGUUCGGAUUGGAGACUUUAAUUGGUUCUCCAAUGUAGAGUCCAAGUGACUAGAGUCCAAGGAGUGUUCGAGUUGGAGUCCAAUGCAGCCAAGAUGAUGUUUCUUUGGCUGCAGGUACUACGGUAUAGUCGAUGGGUCGGUAGCAGUGUGCUUGGGAUAUUAUGACUGAAGCUCGCCGUGACAGUUGUAAUUGUCGGACCACGGGUUGUCCACUAUUUUAUAGGUUUGGUAUGGCUUGUGACGUUUGUGUCACUUAUUCUUUGUUAAGCCAUUAUUGUUAUAGUGUUAAUAAGACUCAAACAGAUAGAUGUUAAAUGGCUCUUUGUUGUAAUUAAUUUGUGAUAGAUGUAUAAGUUGUAAUUUCCGCUA